AGCAGUAUGGUGUAUUGCACACACGGGGUUUUGUUAGUAAGUACCUAUACUUCACCCCGAGGUCCUUGUUCGAGCCAAGGUGCUGCUC